rnacentral:rRNA from 1 species
AAUAGAUACCCGGGUAGUCCACGCCCUAAACUAUGUCGACUAGUUGUCGGGGAAGAAAUUCCUUGGUAACGCAGCUAACGCGUGAAGUUGACCGCCUGGGGAGUACGGCCGCAAGGUUAAAACUCAAAGGAAUUGACGGGGACCCGCACAAGCGGUGGAUUAUGUGGAUUAAUUCGAUGCAACGCGAAAAACCUUACCUACCCUUGACAUGUACGGAAUUCCGCAGAGAUGUGGAAGUGCCCGAAAGGGAACCGUAACACAGGUGCUGCAUGGCUGUCGUCAGCUCGUGUCGUGAGAUGUUGGGUUAAGUCCCGCAACGAGCGCAACCCUUGCCAUUAGUUGCUACAUUCAGUUGGGCACUCUAAUGGGACCGCCGGUGACAAACCGGAGGAAGGUGGGGAUGACGUCAAGUCCUCAUGGCCCUUAUGGGUAGGGCUUCACACGUAAUACAAUGGUCGGUACAGAGGGCUGCCAACCCGCAAGGGGGAGCUAAUCCCAGAAAGCCGAUCGUAGUCCGGAUUGUAGUCUGCAACUCGACUGCAUGAAGCCGG